rnacentral:lncRNA from 1 species
UCUAUGAGAAAAUAUUUAAAGAAAACCAACACGAUUUACUCUAAACUAGGAUAAACCUAAGGACGAAGUAAAAACAUUGUUCGAGAGUUCAAAUAUUUCAUGCCAUAAGCCAUAACAGUGAUAGUUAAUACUCAAAUAUAACUCACAAACUCAUCAGACACCAAAUAUAUUUACUAAUUUCGGCAUAGUACCAGAACCAGAGAGGACAUAAAAAUUCCCACAAUCAGUGUGUAUACUUACACAGCCAAUAUUCGAGCAUUGAACAUUUGAUGAAAUUCUAACAUAAAGACUAAGGUCCUAAAGAUUCAUACAUUACAUGAAAACUUAUGUACCAAAUACAGGUCUAUAUCUACUACAAAACAUGAUACUAGUUAACAAGAAAAAGAAUUAGAUGAGUUAAAAGAGCACGAGAGAUAACUACUGAAAGUGAUUGAUUCCAUUAAUUUCAGAGCACACAUAUCUUCAUAUUCAAUUUGUAGCCCAAGGUUUCAAAGAGGUACCUGGACACAACAAGCAAAAAUAAUAUCUCUGAAAAUCAGCAAGUGAUAGCAGAAGAAUCAACAGCAAAAAACAACAUAGAAGCAAAGAUAUUAUGGCUUCCACCUCAAAUCAAUAGUCCCAGCAACAUAGAGCGAAGACCAGUAAAAAUGAAAAGAAACAGCUUGAAAGUUUUUUUUUUUUGUUUUCUAGCUUUUUACAUAUAGAGAAGAAAAUUAGAAAGAAAAUGAAGAAAAUCUGCCUCUGAACUUCUGAUGGUUUUUUCGUGUAGGAAAUUUUAGCGCAACCAGAACCUGAUUUUCUAAUUCACUUUUACCCUUCAAACAUUGUUAUUUUACCCGUUAGGCCCUAAAAAUCUGAACUGUCUUUGGUUUUCUUUGCAGAAACCAACCCUCCUUAUCCUCUAGGAACUUUUUUUAUAACAAAAAUAUUCUUCAGGUUUGAAUACCCAAAUUAACCCCCUGAUACCCAUGUAAUUACUUCCCAAACAACACCGAACUGGGCCAUCUGACCCAAAGCUUAAGCCGAACAUGUGGGCUUUCUACUUGUCCCAACCGGUAACACACAGAAUUCCAAACACAUACGAGAUGAAGAUCAAAUGACAAACAUGUAAAAUUUUAAAUACCGAAAUGAUUGAACUGGCUGUGAUGCUAAAGAACUAUAAGCUAAACUUGUUAAUUAACAAAAUAAAAACUCUAAUCAGAAUAAUAAUUAAACGAAAAUACACAACAAAACAAAACAAAAUCUUAUCAGUGGUUAAAAGAACACCAUUUUUUUCCUUUUUUAUAAAAAUAUAUUAGAACAAACACAACAACAAGACAAGAUAGAAGGACAAGAAAAUACCCAAGAAUAAAGAUGGAUUGAACUCAUUAGUUUGGCCGAAUUUGCUUGCAAAUUUGGGAAUGAAAAAAAACCGAUGCCAAUUGAUUGUUCUUUUUCAAGAACAAUCUAUUGAAGUAGGUUCUAGGUCAUAAUGAGCAGCUAGGGAACAAAAAUGACCAGAGAAAGAGAAAAGUUAAGGUUUACCAGCUUUUAGAUCAGGAUUCGAAGAGAAUGAGCGGGAAUUUUGGGAAAACUUUUGAUGGAAUCGGCAAGAGGAAGGGAUGCGGAUUUCAUGGUGUCAAUUGGGGCGAGUUUGGAGUACCGCCACAACCGUAGAGCGAUUUCCGACGGGCAGCAGAUAGUGGUGAAGGGUUGGAAAAUUAGCAGCUAGGGUUUGGGCUGUGUGUGAGGGAGAUGAGAAUGAGUUUGGUUUAGAUUUUUUUUUU